rnacentral:rRNA from 1 species
UACGAGAGGUGCAAGCGUUAUUCGGAAUUAUUGGGCGUAAAGGGCGCGUAGGCGGGUCAUUAAGUUUGUUGUUAAAUCCUCUGGCUUAACCAGAGACAAGCAAUAAAAACUGGUAACCUAGAGCGUGAGAGAGAGAAGUGGAAUUCCCGGAGUAGCGGUAAAAUGCGUAGAUCUCGGGAGGAACACCAAUGGCGAAGGCUGCUUCUUGGCUCAUUGCUGACGCUGAGGCGCGAAAAGCGUGGGGAGCAAACAGG